CUUUGAGAUUCUGGUAGUUCCUGUAAGAACUUAAUGAUGUUGCUAGCACCGAACACGCGAUGAGCAAUUGUGAACUUUGCCGGUUCAGUCGGAGGAAAAUACGGAGCCAAGACGCAUUUCUCAGCGCAUCUUCGCCUGAGAAUCUUACAAGCUGCGCAAGGACUAAGAACCACCGCUGGUGGCAGUGGCGGCGGCGGGGAAGAUGAAGAAGAAGGAGAAGUUGAGUUAUUGUUAGAAUUGGCUGCCUCAGUAUGAUCCAUUUUCUUUCUUAUUGGCUCUUCUUCAGAGAGAAAGAGAGAGGAGAAAGAGUGAG
rnacentral:misc_RNA from 1 species